rnacentral:lncRNA from 1 species
UUUUGCCAUACACAGUUUAUGCUCUUGCAGGCCAAGAUCAUUUGGUGUCGCCCUUUAAGCUCAUGCGAACAAGAAGCAUCGGGUGUCACCUUUUAGGCUCAUGUGAACAUAAGGCAUUGUAUGUUGCCUUUUAAGCUCGUGCGAACAAGGAACAUUGUGCCGUGUGCAGUUUAGGGUCAUGCAGGUGAAGAGCAUUAGGUGUUGCCUUUUAAGCUUGUGCGAACAACUAGUAUUGGGUGAUGCCCUUUAAGCUUGUGCGAACAAGGAGCAUUGUUGUUGUGUACAUUUUAGGCUUAUGCAGGUGAGGAGCAUUGAGUGUCACAUUUGAAACUCGUGCAAACAAGGAGUGUUAAGUGUCGCCUUUUAAGCUCGUGAGAAUAAGGAGCAUUGUACCGUGUGCAGUUUAGGCUCAUGCAAGCAAGGAGCUUUGUGUAGUGUGCAAUUUAGGCUCAUGCAGGCGAG